CCUACGGGAGGCAGCAGUGAGGAAUAUUGGACAAUGGGCGCAAGCCUGAUCCAGCCAUGCCGCGUGCAGGAAGACGGUCCUAUGGAUUGUAAACUGCUUUUGUACAGGAAGAAACACUCCCUCGUGAGGGAGCUUGACGGUACUGUAAGAAUAAGGAUCGGCUAACUCCGUGCCAGCAGCCGCGGUAAUACGGAGGAUCCAAGCGUUAUCCGGAAUCAUUGGGUUUAAAGGGUCCGUAGGCGGUUUAAUAAGUCAGUGGUGAAAUCUGGUCGCUCAACGAUCAAACGGCCAUUGAUACUGUUAGACUUGAAUUAUUAGGAAGUAACUAGAAUAUGUAGUGUAGCGGUGAAAUGCUUAGAUAUUACAUGGAAUACCAAUUGCGAAGGCAGGUUACUACUAAUGGAUUGACGCUGAUGGACGAAAGCGUGGGGAGCGAACAGGAUUAGAUACCCUGGUAGUCCACGCCGUAAACGAUGGAUACUAGCUGUUCGGAGCAAUCUGAGUGGCUAAGCGAAAAGUGAUAAGUAUCCCACCUGGGGAGUACGUUCGCAAGAAUGAAAACUCAAAGGAAUUGACGG
rnacentral:rRNA from 1 species